ACGCUGGCGGCGGCCUACACAUGCAAGUCGAGCGCGACCUUCGGGUUGAGCGGCGGACGGGUUAGUAACGCGUGGGAAUAUGCCCAAAGGUACGGAAUAGCCUCUGGAAACGGAGAGUAAUACCGUAUGUGCCCUUCGGGGGAAAGAUUUAUCGCCUUUGGAUUAGCCCGCGUUAGAUUAGGUAGUUGGUGGGGUAAUGGCCUACCAAGCCUACGAUCUAUAGCUGGUUUUAGAGGAUGAUCAGCAACACUGGGACUGAGACACGGCCCAGACUCCUACGGGAGGCAGCAGUGGGGAAUCUUGGACAAUGGGCGCAAGCCUGAUCCAGCCAUGCCGCGUGAGUGAUGAAGGCCUUAGGGUCGUAAAGCUCUUUCGCCAGGGAUGAUAAUGACAGUACCUGGUAAAGAAACCCCGGCUAACUCCGUGCCAGCAGCCGCGGUAAUACGGAGGGGGUUAGCGUUGUUCGGAAUUACUGGGCGUAAAGCGCGCGUAGGCGGAUCGGAAAGUUGGGGGUGAAAUCCCGGGGCUCAACCCCGGAACUGCCUCCAAAACUAUCGGUCUA
rnacentral:rRNA from 1 species